UGGUGUUACUGCGAAGGGGGGACGGAGAAGGCUAUGUUGGCCGGGCGACGGUUGUCCCGGUUUAAGCAUGUAGGCGGAUGUUCCAGGUAAAUCCGGAACGUUAUUAACGCUGAGGUGUGAUGACGAGGCACUACGGUGCUGAAGUGACAAAUGCCCUGCUUCCAGGAAAAGCCUCUAAGCAUCAGGUAACAUCAAAUCGUACCCCAA
rnacentral:rRNA from 1 species